GCAUAUCAAUAAGCGGAGGAAAAGAAAAUAACAAUGAUUCCCUUAGUAACGGCGAGUGAAGGGGGAUAAGCUCAAAUUUUAAAUCUACCAGGUUAACCUGGUCGAGUUGUAAUUUGAAGAGGCGUUUUCUGCGCAGUUUGGUCAGCCCAAGUCCUAUUGAAUGAGGCAUCAUGGAGGGUGAUAAUCCCGUCCGGCUGAUCAUUGCGUUUUACGAUACGCUUUCUAAGAGUCAAGUUGUUUGGGAUUGCAGCUUAAAAUGGGAGGUAAAUUUCUCCUAAGGCUAAAUAUUGGCGAGAGACCGAUAGCGAACAAGUACCGUGAGGGAAAGAUGAAAAGUACUUUGAAAAGAGAGUUAAAUAGCACGUGAAAUUGUUGAAAGGGAAACGAUUGAAGCCAGUCGUACCUGCGGACAAUCAGCCUUUCGGGUGCGAUUCUGUGGAGCGUGAGGAGUUAAACGCCUUCAUGCCUGCGUAUUUGUACUCUGGGGUGUACUUGGACGUGCGGUAGGUUAACAUCAAUUUCGGAUGUCAUAAAAUGGCUGGAGGAAUGUAGCUUCGGUCUCGUACUGAAGUGUUAUAGCCUUUGGUAGAUGUGAUGACCGGGAUUGAGGAUUGCAACGAAUACCUUUUGGGCUACCCGCCUGAUCUCUGAAAGUUGCUCUGGUGCCGAAAGCUUGCUUACGGUUAUCAAAGUUGACGUUCAAAAGGUUAGAACGGANUAAAUUCGUUAAGGAUGUUGACGUA
rnacentral:rRNA from 1 species